rnacentral:rRNA from 1 species
CCUACGGGAGGCAGCAGUGAGGAAUAUUGGUCAAUGGGCGCGAGCCUGAACCAGCCAAGUAGCGUGAAGGAUGACUGCCCUACGGGUUGUAAACUUCUUCUAUAAAGGAAUAAAGUGAGGCACGUGUGCCUUUUUGUAUGUACUUUAUGAAUAAGGAUCGGCUAACUCCGUGCCAGCAGCCGCGGUAAUACGGAGGAUCCGAGCGUUAUCCGGAUUUAUUGGGUUUAAAGGGAGCGUAGAUGGGUUGUUAAGUCAGUUGUGAAAGUUUGCGGCUCAACCGUAAAAUUGCAAUUGAUACUGGCUGUCUUGAGUACAGUUGAGGUAGGCGGAAUUCGUGGUGUAGCGGUGAAAUGCUUAGAUAUCACGAAGAACUCCGAUUGCGAAGGCAGCUUACUAAACUGCCACUGACAUUGAUGCUCGAAAGUGUGGGUAUCAAACAGGAUUAGAUACCCCAGUAGUC